GAUGAACGCUGGCGGCGUGCCUAAUACAUGCAAGUCGAGCGAACAGAUAAGGAGCUUGCUCCUUUGACGUUAGCGGCGGACGGGUGAGUAACACGUGGGUAACCUACCUAUAAGACUGGAAUAACUCCGGGAAACCGGGGCUAAUGCCGGAUAACAUUUAGAACCGCAUGGUUCUAAAGUGAAAGAUGGUUUUGCUAUCACUUACAGAUGGACCCGCGCCGUAUUAGCUAGUUGGUAAGGUGACGGCGUACCAAGGCAACGAUACGUAGCCGACCUGAGAGGGUGAUCGGCCACACUGGAACUGAGACACGGUCCAGACUCCUACGGGAGGCAGCAGUAGGGAAUCUUCCGCAAUGGGCGAAAGCCUGACGGAGCAACGCCGUGUGAGUGAUGAAGGUCUUCGGAUCGUAAAACUCUGUUAUUAGGGAAGAACAAAUGUGUAAGUAACUGUGCACGUCUUGACGGUACCUAAUCAGAAAGCCACGGCUAACUACGUGCCAGCAGCCGCGGUAAGAC
rnacentral:rRNA from 1 species